rnacentral:rRNA from 1 species
AGUGGCGGACGGGUGAGUAACGCGUAAGAAUCUAACUUCAGGACGGGGACAACAGUUGGAAACGACUGCUAAUACCCGAUGUGCCGCGAGGUGAAACCUAUUUGGCCUGAAGAAGAGCUUGCGUCUGAUUAGCUAGUUGGUGGGGUAAGAGCCUACCAAGGCGACGAUCAGUAGCUGGUCUGAGAGGAUGAGCAGCCACACUGGGACUGAGACACGGCCCAGACUCCUACGGGAGGCAGCAGUGGGGAAUUUUCCGCAAUGGGCGAAAGCCUGACGGAGCAACGCCGCGUGAGGGAGGAAGGUCCUUGGAAUGUAAACCUCUUUUCUCAAGGAAGAAGUUCUGACGGUACUUGAGGAAUCAGCCUCGGCUAACUCCGUGCCAGCAGCCGCGGUAAUACGGGGGAGGCAAGCGUUAUCCGGAAUUAUUGGGCGUAAAGCGUCCGCAGGUGGUCAGCCAAGUCUGCUGUCAAAUCAGGUUGCUUAACGACCUAAAGGCGGUGGAAACUGGCAGACUAGAGAGCAGUAGGGGUAGCAGGAAUUCCCAGUGUAGCGGUGAAAUGCGUAGAGAUUGGGAAGAACAUCGGCGGCGAAAGCGUGCUACUGGGCUGUAUCUGACACUCAGGGACGAAAGCUAGGGGAGCGAAAGGGAUUAGAUACCCCUGUAGUCCUAGCCGUAAACGAUGGAUACUAGGCGUGGCUU